CUUAAAUUGAAGAGUUUGAUCAUGGCUCAGAUUGAACGCUGGCGGCAGGCCUAACACAUGCAAGUCGAGCGGAAACGAGUUGUCUGAACCUUCGGGGGACGA
rnacentral:rRNA from 1 species